rnacentral:lncRNA from 1 species
AGCUGGGCCAGUGCACAGGAAGCCAAGCAGUGGGACCCAGAGAGAGGCCCCCAUCCCCGAGAAACCACCGUCCCCACAAGCACGCCGUAUCCUGAGAUGUAGGGAACAGUGGGUGGAGCACUCCAGGAAGCAGAGGCAGUCCAGGGCCUGCAGCCUAGUUCACUAGCUGGCCAGGUGGGGAAGGAGGCCUGUGAUUCCUCAGCUGGGGCAAGCAGAGAGCAGGUGAGGGUCACAGGCCUCAUCAAGCCCAGAUGCUGCAAUCAGCAGACACAGGAGCAGAAGGCAGCAGAGCUGAGGUGCUGUGUCUGCUCAACUGCCCACAUUGAGGGACCUUGUUUUGGAUGCUCCUGGACCUCCAUGGGUUUCUCCUUCAGGCAUGAUGCUGGACUGUAUCCAGACUUGAAUUGCUGCUGCACCUUGUUUCCUGACUUUCAGCCUUCGACUUUAGAUUUUGAACUGUGGACUUUGCAGAUGCUGAUCGACCCUGGACCUCAUUUCCUGACCUUCGGCUUUCGACUUUGGAUCUCAGACCGCGGACUUUGUGGAUGCUGAUUGACCCUUGGAUUUUGGGCUUGAUCUUGGCAUGCUGUCUAUCUGCCAGGUAAGCCAGGACAUUAAGCUUGUGAUCUGUUAAGAGUCCUAGAUCCUUUUCAACGAUACUGCUGUCAGGCCAAUCCUACCUGAUUCAAAAGUAGUUUACCCUGGCGCCCCUCCACACAACAGAAUCUCCCUGCACAUGUUAAACUAACAUGUCAUAAUGAGACUUGGCCAGAAAAGGUUGGCUACUGGGAGCUGAGCUAGUUCACUUUCCCUUGCCACACCCAACCAGGAAGUCAAUAAAUUCAUUUGCAAGUGUCUGAAAUUUUCCUUGACCCAAUAGAGUUGCAUGUCAACUGAAAAAGGGACUACUCUGGACCUCACCAGUCAUCUUUUUAUGGUGGAUCAGAUCUCUAUGCUUGGCUUAUUUGUGGUUUCUGUUCAGUUGCUGCUUCUCCCAAAACCAGGUGUAAAUUUGUGUUUGUGGUGGAGCAACAAUGGAUGAGUUCAAGGGAAUGCUCUUUCCCCUAGAGGUCUGGCUGGAGGAGGUGAAAUGAGCAGACUCAACCCCAAGAAUUAUUAUUACCACUAGAAGAGGUAUCAGUAGUCCAAGCUAUUAUGGUGUUGAUUCUUCUCUCCCACUAGUUGUAAAUCAGGAGACACUCAAGUGAAGUCUGUGGUGUUGACAGGACUGUAAAAUUGGUAUGAGUAGGAGGCCAAAGCCCAGUAUGUGGUGGAAAGUGAAUAGAUCAACAUGGGAGAUAAUUAAUAUGAUGUGGCUUAGUGCAACUGCACUACAGGAAAUUGAGCCCUUCAGCACAAAGGAUGUCAUAUUAGGUUAAACUAUUAAAGUGGUUGGGGUGUAAGGCAAUAAUUUAAUCAGGGGAAUAUGCACAAUCUGGGUACCAAAUGUUGAAGAGCGGGGGGAAACCCUUUAAAGUUUGGGGCUUGUGAUGACAUACGCAUUGCAGAAUACAGAUGGUGGAAUUCGAGUGCUGAUGCCAAGUGCUAUGUUGUCUUGGAUAUCUGAAUGCACAUUUUUCUGUAGAGGCACAAUUUUUAAAGAGAUUUUAUCCACCUGCUAAUCCCAGAGUCUUGUUAGAUUACAUUAAUUACAGCUAGGGGAAUAUUUACAUUUGCUAGUUAAGUCCAACAGGUUCUGAAAAAUGUCUUUAAAAUGUAUAACUUUGCUUAGAUAGCAACCUAUCUAAGUCCAUCACAGAAUGUGCUCAAUUCACAUGCUCUGAUGCCACAGCAGAACAAUUGUUUUUGAAGAAAUUCUCUGCCAAAGGUACAUUUGCUUUAAUUCUAAAGUGACCUGUACUGUACUUACUGGAGGUGAUAAAUUGUUCAGGCUGGUACUCUUUGAUACCUGGUGGCUUACAAAAGCAACUUUUCCUUUGGUCUGUGUCAGUGCUGGUGAGGACUGCAUUCAUCUGUUUGCUGACUUAACAGUUGGGCAUUUCCUUCUCUCUGAGUGUUGUGUAGACCUUAUGGAAACCAGAGAUAGGCUAGCAGGGUAAAUCAUGCCUCAUAUCUGAAUUACUGAAAUACCGGCAUAUUGCUGCUGCUGCUGCUGCUGCUGCUACUUAUUAAAUUUCUAUACCACCCUUCAUCCAAAGAACACAGGGUGGUUUACAAUAUAAAACACAGGAUCAGGACUGAAAUAAGGGAGACGUGGGGCAAAACAUGCUAUUCUCCCAUGCCAGUCUCCUGAUGAAAAUCACAUCUCAAGCUGCUAUUUUCUUGGAAGGGGAGGAUAGUAGCAGUGGUAGCAGUAAGUUUUUCUUUGAAGGGCACAUAACUUCAUGGAGCAAUUUCAUCAGGGUUAAUUCCCCCUCCCUGCCCCCGUACCAAGGUCCUGGUCCACUAGGAGUUAUCUGAAUUGGAAAUAAGAGUUUUUCCUUAGAGCCAGGCUUCAGAAUGCCUCCCAGUGAAAUAUAUCCAUUUGGAAUUAGCAAAACAUUUAUUUAGUGCCUUUAAUUCAAUUACAAUUGCAUGUUCAGAUAGUCAAGGACAGCAGUGACCAGCUGUUCAUUGGUAUAGAGGCCAGGACCAAAUCUAGAUCUUCACUUCCUCCUGGGAAGUGACGGCUUUCCUGACCAGGGUGGCCGUGGCUUCUGGACUGGGCUGAGUAUUAUGCAUAUUCACUCUAUUCCUUUAAAGCACAUUCAAAGCACUUGGAUAAUUCUGGUCACUGUAGUUUACCUCUCACAGAGUUUCAGUUCCAAGCAACCCAUAACGAACUACAGUGCCCAGAAUUCUUUGAGGGAAAGAAUGUGCUCCGAAUGUGCUUUCAAGUUACAAUGUGCACACAACCCCUGUCUCUCAUCCAUCUGCAACAGAGAUUGGAACAAAGGUCUACUUUGAUUGGAACAGAGAUCCAUAAGACUGGGGUGUCCGAUGCUGAAAAGCAAACCACAAUUCCCAGACUGCAAUUAGCAGUGUGAUAGGAUCAAAGCCUAAGAUUAUUUUGAAAUUAUUAAUACUAAUGAAAGGCUAAAAAAGGAUUGCUGGGGUUUUAUUAUUUCCAAUAGUUUUCAUUAGCUGCCCUCGGUUGAUUGGAUAUGGGAGGUUUUAUUUACCCCCCCCCAUAUAUAUAUUAAAUAAAAUAAAAUUACAUAGGAUUCUAUUAAUGGGGUCUCUUAAAUGUUAUGCUUAGAAAAUACAGUUAUAGAAUCAGAUGUUACCGCUGGAUGCCCAUUUGCACUAUUGCCCUCUGAUGGGUUGAAACAGAACUGUUCAUAUGUUCGCUGUUUACCUUCUAAACCAAGUAGCACACUUUCAAAGAGACUCACAAUCUUUUAUAACAGUUAGUAGCGAUCCCUUUAGGGUUCAAGCCAUGAUAAUUGUGAAUGAAGUGCUGGUGCCCGCACUGUGGUGGCUACAAGCCUACAACCAGAAAUUUGUUCUUUCUGUGUGCAGCUCCCAAGCCACUGGCAGCCAUGUCCUCAUGCAAGAAUACAGGCCUGCAGCACAUUUAGGUGACACGUGGCUGUAGCUGGCUAUCAUCUGAGGCAGCAAGGAAAAAGGAAAUCUGCACAGCAUUUGUCCUGCUACUUUUUUGGUCCUGGCAAGGGGAAAUGUUUUCCACAAUCACUCAGCGGUUUGCCCACUCUCUGCACUUAUGCACCUUACCUUUACCUGCUGGCUUUCUCUUUUCCCACAUCAUCUGAGGCAACUGUGCAAGGCAACCUGCAAGGCAAAUGCAGAAGUCCUCCCUGUGCAUAUGGAAGUGAGAAAAGGCACACAUGCCACACGCCAUCUCUUGCGCUG